rnacentral:rRNA from 1 species
AGAGUUUGAUCAUGGCUCAGGACGAACGCUGGCGGCGUGCUUAACACAUGCAAGUCGAACGAUGAACCACUUCGGUGGGGAUUAGUGGCGAACGGGUGAGUAACACGUGGGCAAUCUGCCCUGCACUCUGGGACAAGCCCUGGAAACGGGGUCUAAUACCGGAUACUGAUCAUCUUAGGCAUCUUGGAUGAUCGAAAGCUCCGGCGGUGCAGGAUGAGCCCGCGGCCUAUCAGCUUGUUGGUGAGGUAAUGGCUCACCAAGGCGACGACGGGUAGCCGGCCUGAGAGGGCGACCGGCCACACUGGGACUGAGACACGGCCCAGACUCCUACGGGAGGCAGCAGUGGGGAAUAUUGCACAAUGGGCGAAAGCCUGAUGCAGCGACGCCGCGUGAGGGAUGACGGCCUUCGGGUUGUAAACCUCUUUCAGCAGGGAAGAAGCGAAAGUGACGGUACCUGCAGAAGAAGCGCCGGCUAACUACGUGCCAGCAGCCGCGGUAAUACGUAGGGCGCGAGCGUUGUCCGGAAUUAUUGGGCGUAAAGAGCUCGUAGGCGGCUUGUCACGUCGGUUGUGAAAGCCCGGGGCUUAACCCCGGGUCUGCAGUCGAUACGGGCAGGCUAGAGUUCGGUAGGGGAGAUCGGAAUUCCUGGUGUAGCGGUGAAAUGCGCAGAUAUCAGGAGGAACACCGGUGGCG